UACGAAGGGGGCUAGCGUUGUUCGGAUUAACUGGGCGUAAAGGGUGCGUAGGCGGGCUUUUAAGUCAGGGGUGAAAUCCCGAGGCUCAACCUCGGAACUGCCUUUGAUACUGGGAGUCUUGAGUUCGGGAGAGGUGAGUGGAACUGCGAGUGUAGAGGUGAAAUUCGUAGAUAUUCGCAGGAACACCAGUGGCGAAGGCGGCUCACUGGUCCACAACUGACGCUGAGGUGCGAAAGCGUGGGGAGCAAACAGG
rnacentral:rRNA from 1 species